rnacentral:rRNA from 1 species
GACGAACGCUGGCGGCGUGCUUAACACAUGCAAGUCGAACGGAAAGGCCCCUUUGGGGGUACUCGAGUGGCGAACGGGUGAGUAACACGUGAGUAACCUGCCCUUGACUUCGGGAUAACUUCAGGAAACUGGGGCUAAUACCGGAUAGGAAUCCUUGCUGCAUGGUGGGGGUUGGAAAGCUUCGGCGGUUUUGGAUGGACUCGCGGCUUAUCAGCUUGUUGGUGGGGUAGUGGCUUACCAAGGCUUUGACGGGUAGCCGGCCUGAGAGGGCGACCGGCCACAUUGGGACUGAGAUACGGCCCAGACGCCUACGGGAGGAAGCAGUGGGGAAGAUUGCACAAUGGGCGGAAGCCUGAUGCAGCAACGCCGCGUGCGGGAUGACGGCCUUCGGGUUGUAAACCGCUUUCAGCAGGGGCGAAGCUUGUGGUGACGGUACCUGCAGAAGAAGCACCGGCUAACUACGUG